UGAGUACGAGCUGCUACGGCAGCGAAGUGGGUGAUGUCAAGCUUCCAAGAAAAGCCCUAUACCCGUUAAGGCAUGACGGCCUGUACCCGAAACCGACACAGGUGGGGUGGUGGAGAAUACCGAGGGGCGCGAGGUAACUCUCUCUAAGGAACUCGGCAAAAUGGCCCCGUAACUUCGGGAGAAGGGGUGCCACCGCAAGGUGGUCGCAGUGAAGAGGCCCAGGCGACUGUUUACCAAAAACACAGGUCUCCGCUAAGUCGCAAGACGAUGUAUGGGGGCUGACGCCUGCCCAGUGCCGGAAGGUUAAGGAAGCUGGUCAGCGAAAGCGAAGCUAGCGACUGAAGCCCCGGUGAACGGCGGCCGUAACUAUAACGGUCCUAAGGUAGCGAAAUUCCUUGUCGGGUAAGUUCCGACCCGCACGAAAGGCGUAACGAUCUGGGCGCUGUCUCGGAGAGAGGCUCGGCGAAAUAGAAUUGUCUGUGAAGAUGCGGACUACGUGCACCCGGACAGAAAUACCCUAUGAAGCUUUACUGUAGCUUGGUAUUGUGCCCGGGCUCUGAAUGCGCAGGAUAGGUGGGAGACAUUGAUGCAUGGCUUGCGGGUCAUGCGGAGUCAACGGUGAGAUACCACUCUUUCAGAGCUAGGGUUCUAACAGCCACCCGUUAUCCGGGGGCUGGACAGUAUCAGGUGGGCAGUUUGACUGGGGCGGUCGCCUCCUAAAAGGUAACGGAGGCGCGCAAAGGUUUGCUCAGGCUGGUUGGAAAUCAGCCGACGAGUGUAAAAGCAGAAGCAAGCUUGACUGUGAGACCUACAAGUCGAACAGGGACGAAAGUCGGCUUUAGUGAUCCGACGGUUCUGAGUGGAAGGGCCGUCGCUCAACGGAUAAAAGUUACUCUAGGAUAACAGGCUGAUCUCCCCCAAGAGUUCACAUCGACGGGGAGGUUUGGCACCUCGAUGUCGGCUCAUCGCAACCUGGGGCUGAAGUCGGUCCCAAGGGUUGGGCUGUUCGCCCAUUAAAGCGGUACGCGAGCUGGGUUCAGAACGUCGUGAGACAGUUCGGUCCAUAUCCGGUGCAUGCGUAAGAACAUUGAGAGGAGUUCUCCCUAGUACGAGAGGACCGGGAGGAACGCACCUCUGGUGUACCAGUUAUCGUGCCAACGGUAAACGCUGGGUAGCCAUGUGCGGAGAGGAUAACCGCUGAAAGCAUCUAAGUGGGAAGCCCACCUCAAGAUGAGUGUUCUCAUGGCUUAAGCCAGUAAGGUCACGGGAAGAACACCCGUUGAUAGGCUCUACGUGGAAGCUUGGUAACAGGUGAAGCGGAGGAGUACUAAUAGACCGAGGGCUUGAC
rnacentral:rRNA from 1 species